AUGGAUAUGUCCAGCAGCUGUGUACGUUUGUGAUAAACAUGAUGUGAGAUUAAUAUAAUUUUCAAAUUGUAUCAAUUACAUUGCCAACAAAAUGUGCCUUCUCAACUUGUUCCAAUGUCUAGUAGACAUAAAUAAGAAGUAUACUUUCAUUGUUAGCAUUGCUCGUUUUGUCUCUCGAAGCAUUCUUUGACUGAUCAUUUCGUAAUAUUCUUCCUUCUAAAUUGAUCAACGAAGCAUUAAUGGAUCAUAUCUAAGUACGCUGAGUUCAUUCAGAGCGACAACGAGCAGCUCCCGAGAAAAAAGAAAUAAUACUAUUACAAAAUUAUUUUAAUUGACAAACUAAUUUAAAAUACUAAAUAUAAAAAACCUGAUAAACUAAAAAGUAUAGUAACUACUAUUUAGAUUUCCAUUAAAUAAAUCAGACCUAUGUUCAUAAUGGGUAAUAGCGGUAAACAGAGAAAAUUAAUAAAAAUGUAAAAAGAAAUUUAAAAAAACCAGAUGGUGAUACACAGAAGAAACAAAGAGAAUAUCCAGAGAAAACGUUUGAGUUUGUACUCUCAAUAAUUGAUCAUAAAUUGCAAAGAAACUAUCCAAGUUUACAAAUGAUUUUUCCACAAAAACAGUUUCUUAUCACUAUUUGGAAAAUGGCUACUCCUGAUUCUUACCGAUCCAAUAUGCGAAAAAUUUAAUGUCAGUCCAUCAACAGUGUUACUAACAACACGAAGAGUUACCAAAAUUCUAGCAAAUUUGAUAGUAACAUUUAUUAAGUCCAACAGGAAAUGAUGUUACAGAAAUUUGGACAGGAAUUGAAGCAAAUAAUUCUUCUCCAAAAGUUAUAGACGGUACUCACAUCAAGAUUCCUCAUAUCAAGAAGCCUGUAUCAAUCGGAAAGGUAAUUUGUGAUCAUAAGGCUCAUUUCAUUCACUAUGUUGGACAUGCUGGUUCUGUACAUGACCAGCGUGUCUUUCGACAUUUUCAGAAAUCCAAGAUAAAUUGGGUGAUUCGACAAAAUUUCCUGAUGAUUGUCAUUUAGAUGGUCUACUUUAUUACUAACAAGAAAAACAAAUAUCAAUGAAGGCAUAAAUGAGAAAUAUAAAAAUAAUGAUGUAGUAAAAUUAUAUUAAGAAAUGUUUGACAUUGCGACUUAUGAUAGCACAAAUUAUAUAGAGGUUAAUAGAAAAUUGUAUGCAAUGUACCAAAGAGAAAAAGAGAGAGAGGAGAAAGAAAGAGAAUGCCUUUAGCCAAUCAAAUUUUUGCGCCGUGAUGUCAUCAUUCGUGCUAUUUCGCGUUAUUAUUUUCAAGGCACGAAAUCAAUUUUGAUGGGCACUUAUUCUCUCUUUGAACGCUUUAAAAUUCAUUUAUGUUCUAAAGUACAGAAAAUCAGAUAAUAAAACCAGGGUCAUCAAUGCUUGAAUAAUUUAUACAAAUUUUCUUGCUAUGUAAUUUAUAUAAUGCAAAUACGUGAAAAUUGUGAAUUAAAUCUGAUAGAUGAAGUAGGAAUAAAAUACUGCCUCAAAGUAUUUCCGGAAGACGACGCACAUGCAAAAAAUGACCUAAUAUUUGUCUCUCGCCUACUUGGAAAAUGCCCAGAAACAAGAAUGUGAAACAGCAACUACUUUAGUUACUGCAGAGAAUGAGAAUGAGUCAUUUUUUAAGUGGUCUCAUGAAGCAACCCUUUUAUUGAUAGAAGAAUAUCGUCUUCAAGAGCAUAAUCUUAUAUCGGAUAAGAUGACCCAUGAAAAAAAUCAUCAUCAUCAACAUCAUCUGAUAGCGAGGAAGAAUUGGAUAUACUUAAUAAUUUGGUAACAGCUCGUCGGAGGAAAGUUCUAAGGCUGAAAAAUUAUGUAGAAGAAGUUAUUCCUAGUUGGAGAGAUAAACAAUUUAAAUCAUAUUUCAGUCGACCUUGGUGUCUCUUGUGGCGUUUCGAGGAUGCGUGUCAUUAUGAUGCGACUGAUACAUUAAUGUCUCACGAAUUAGAUAUGUUAUCGUGAUGCUCUUGUGACUGCCUGCUGCAGAUUCAUGAUUUUUCUGGAUUAUUUUUAUUCUGUCUUCCACUGGAGAAGUGAUAACAAUACCAAGACAAACGGAAAUCAAUACAGACAAACAGAGUACACGCAAGAUUAACAAUCAAGCCUCGCAUGAGGAGAGCAUGUUCCUUGGAGCUAUCAAGAGGGAAUGGUUCUACCAGCUUCGAAACAAUCUGAUCGAACAGUCAAUAACAAGAUGUACAUCCUGAAACCAAAAAUUCCGCUUCAAUACACCUGGGAUAUUCUUUA